GUGAUACGUCAGACAGGUGUUGUCAGUAGAGUGUGAUACACAAUCUACAGUGUGAUACAUCAGACAGGUGUUGUCCAGUAAAGUGUGAUACACAAUCUACAAAAGGUGAUACAUC